AUGGAUCCGUAACUUCGGG
rnacentral:snRNA from 1 species